GUUCUUGUAGUUAAAUUUUUAUAACGGCGGCUUUUCAGGCCGCAGAUCCUGGGGAAGGUCCAGGUGGGAACU
rnacentral:tRNA from 1 species